AGUGAACGCUGGCGGUAGGCCUAACACAUGCAAGUCGAACGGCAGCACAGUAAGAUCUUGCUCUUACGGGUGGCGAGUGGCGGACGGGUGAGGAAUACAUCGGAAUCUACUUUUUCGUGGGGGAUAACGUAGGGAAACUUACGCUAAUACCGCAUACGACCUACGGGUGAAAGCAGGGGAUCUUCGGACCUUGCGCGAUUGAAUGAGCCGAUGUCGGAUUAGCUAGUUGGCGGGGUAAAGUCCCACCAAGGCGACGAUCCGUAGCUGGUCUGAGAGGAUGAUCAGCCACACUGGAACUGAGACACGGUCCAGACUCCUACGGGAGGCAGCAGUGGGGAAUAUUGGACAAUGGGCGAAAGCCUGAUCCAGCCAUACCGCGUGGGUGAAGAAGGCCUUCGGGUUGUAAAGCCCUUUUGUUGGGAAAGAAAAGCAGCAGGUUAAUCCCCCGCUGUUCUGACGGUACCCAAAGAAUAAGCACCGGCUAACUUCGUG
rnacentral:rRNA from 1 species